AGCGCAGGCGGACCGGCAAGUUGGAAGUGAAAACUAUGGGCUCAACCCAUAAAUUGCUUUCAAAACUGCUGGCCUUGAGUAGUGCAGAGGUAGGUGGAAUUCCCGGUGUAGCGGUGGAAUGCGUAGAUAUCGGGAAGAACACCAAUGGCGAGGGCAGGUCUCUGGGCCGUCACUGACGCUGAGGAGCGAAAGCGUGGGGAGCGAACA
rnacentral:rRNA from 1 species